UACGUAGGUGGCAAGCGUUGUCCGGAUUUAUUGGGUUUAAAGGGUGCGUAGGCGGCCUAUUAAGUCAGUGCUGAAAUAUCCCGGCUUAACCGGGAGGGUGGCAUUGAUACUGAUGGGCUUGAGUAGAGUUGAGGUUGGCGGAAUUGACGGUGUAGCGGUGAAAUGCUUAGAUAUCGUCAAGAACACCUAUUGCGAAGGCAGCUAACUAAGCUCAAACUGACGCUGAGGCACGAAAGUGUGGGGAGCGAACGGG
rnacentral:rRNA from 1 species